rnacentral:rRNA from 1 species
UGGGGAAUUGUUCGCAAUGGACGAAAGUCUGACGACGCAACGCCGCGUGAAGGAUGAAGGUCUUCGGAUUGUAAACUUCUGUUGGGUGGGAAGAACUGUUUCCGGAUCAAUACCCCGGGAAUCUGACGGUACCACCUGAGGAAGCCCCGGCUAACUCUGUGCCAGCAGCCGCGGUAAUACAGAGGGGGCAAGCGUUGUUCGGAAUUACUGGGCGUAAAGGGCGCGUAGGCGGCCUAUUAAGUCAGACGUGAAAUCCCUCGGCUCAACCGGGGAACUGCGUCUGAUACUGGUGGGCUUGAGUUCGGGAGAGGAAUGUGGAAUUCCAGGUGUAGCGGUGAAAUGCGUAGAUAUCUGGAGGAACACCGGUGGCGAAGGCGGCAUUCUGGACCGACACUGACGCUGAGGCGCGAAAGCCAGGGGAGCAA